GGGGGUGUACUGGUUUCGACGGGGGUGUGGAGGCAGGAAUAGCGGGCGGUGGCGCCUGGCCACCAUAAAACGGGCAGCUUAUAAAUUAAAGAACAACAACGAAACUGUUCUUCUCGCUGCUUAAUUAGCGAGCGUUCCCUCCGGGAGGACCACGGCCCGGAACGGAGCGUCGAUGCGUGGUGCACGUGCGUGCGCAAAGCUUUGAGCGCACCAUGAAUCAUGAAGCUACCGGAUUGACGGGCUUGACGGUUUGCCUGUCCUGACGGAAACAGAGGACUUCGGGUCCUCGGAAUAACCCUCUGCGCCCGGAGAGGUUCCUGUCAAAGCGCUUUCGGACGGGGGUCCGAUUCCCCCCACCUCCACCA
rnacentral:tmRNA from 1 species